UGUGCUACCCUGUCCACGCCUCGCCUCGGCAGCCAGGGCAGGGCCGCCGUCGAAGAGCCCCAAUACACGGUCCCCAUCUCAGCAUGAUGGACUUGGAGCUGCCGCCGCCGGGACUGCCGUCCCAGCAG
rnacentral:other from 13 species